rnacentral:rRNA from 1 species
CCUACGGGAGGCAGCAGUGAGGAAUAUUGGUCAAUGGGCGCGAGCCUGAACCAGCCAAGUAGCGUGAAGGAUGACUGCCCUACGGGUUGUAAACUUCUUUUAUCAGGGAGUAAAGUGAGGCACGUGUGCCUCUUUGCAUGUACUUUAUGAAUAAGCAUCGGCUAACUCCGUGCCAGCAGCCGCGGUAAUACGGAGGAUCCGAGCGUUAUCCGGAUUUAUUGGGUUUAAAGGGAGCGUAGGUGGGUUGUUAAGUCAGUUGUGAAAGUUUGCGGCUCAACCGUAAAAUUGCAAUUGAUACUGGCAGCCUUGAGUACAGUUGAGGUAGGCGGAAUUCGUGGUGUAGCGGUGAAAUGCUUAGAUAUCACGAAGAACUCCGAUUGCGAAGGCAGCAUACUAAACUGCCACUGACAUUGAUGCUCGAAAGUGUGGGUAUCAAACAGGAUUAGAUACCCGAGUAGUC